rnacentral:rRNA from 1 species
GAUUAAGUUAUUAAGGGCGCACGGUGGAUGCCUUGGCACUAGAAGCCGAUGAAGGACGUUACUAACGACGAUAUGCUUUGGGGAGCUGUAAGUAAGCUUUGAUCCAGAGAUUUCCGAAUGGGGAAACCCAGCAUGAGUUAUGUCAUGUUAUCGAUAUGUGAAUACAUAGCAUAUCAGAAGGCACACCCGGAGAACUGAAACAUCUUAGUACCCGGAGGAAGAGAAAGAAAAUUCGAUUCCCUUAGUAGCGAUGAGCGAAACGGGAAGAGCCCAAACCAACAAGCUUGCUUGUUGGGGUUGUAGGACACUCUAUACGGAGUUACAAAGGACGACAUUAGACGAAUCAUCUGGAAAGAUGAAUCAAAGAAGGUAAUAAUCCUGUAGUCGAAAAUGUUGUCUCUCUUGAGUGGAUCCUGAGUACGACGGAGCACGUGAAAUUCCGUCGGAAUCUGGGAGGACCAUCUCCUAAGGCUAAAUACUCUCUAGUGACCGAUAGUGAACCAGUACCGUGAGGGAAAGGUGAAAAGCACCCCGGAAGGGGAGUGAAAUAGAACCUGAAACCGUGUGCUUACAAGUAGUCAGAGCCCGUUAAUGGGUGAUGGCGUGCCUUUUGUAGAAUGAACCGGCGAGUUACGAUUUGAUGCAAGGUUAAGCAGUAAAUGUGGAGCCGUAGCGAAAGCGAGUCUGAAUAGGGCGUUUAGUAUUUGGUCGUAGACCCGAAACCAGGUGAUCUACCCUUGGUCAGGUUGAAGUUCAGGUAACACUGAAUGGAGGACCGAACCGACUUACGUUGAAAAGUGAGCGGAUGAACUGAGGGUAGCGGAGAAAUUCCAAUCGAACCUGGAGAUAGCUGGUUCUCUCCGAAAUAGCUUUAGGGCUAGCCUCAAGUGAUGAUUAUUGGAGGUAGAGCACUGUUUGGACGAGGGGCCCCUCUCGGGUUACCGAAUUCAGACAAACUCCGAAUGCCAAUUAAUUUAACUUGGGAGUCAGAACAUGGGUGAUAAGGUCCGUGUUCGAAAGGGAAACAGCCCAGACCACCAGCUAAGGUCCCAAAAUAUAUGUUAAGUGGAAAAGGAUGUGGCGUUGCCCAGACAACUAGGAUGUUGGCUUAGAAGCAGCCAUCAUUUAAAGAGUGCGUAAUAGCUCACUAGUCGAGUGACACUGCGCCGAAAAUGUACCGGGGCUAAACAUAUUACCGAAGCUGUGGAUUGUCCUUUGGACAAUGGUAGGAGAGCGUUCUAAGGGCGUUGAAGCAUGAUCGUAAGGACAUGUGGAGCGCUUAGAAGUGAGAAUGCCGGUGUGAGUAGCGAAAGACGGGUGAGAAUCCCGUCCACCGAUUGACUAAGGUUUCCAGAGGAAGGCUCGUCCGCUCUGGGUUAGUCGGGUCCUAAGCUGAGGCCGACAGGCGUAGGCGAUGGAUAACAGGUUGAUAUUCCUGUACCACCUAUAAUCGUUUUAAUCGAUGGGGGGACGCAGUAGGAUAGGCGAAGCGUGCGAUUGGAUUGCACGUCUAAGCAGUAAGGCUGAGUAUUAGGCAAAUCCGGUACUCGUUAAGGCUGAGCUGUGAUGGGGAGAAGACAUUGUGUCUUCGAGUCGUUGAUUUCACACUGCCGAGAAAAGCCUCUAGAUAGAAAAUAGGUGCCCGUACCGCAAACCGACACAGGUAGUCAAGAUGAGAAUUCUAAGGUGAGCGAGCGAACUCUCGUUAAGGAACUCGGCAAAAUGACCCCGUAACUUCGGGAGAAGGGGUGCUCUUUAGGGUUAACGCCCAGAAGAGCCGCAGUGAAUAGGCCCAAGCGACUGUUUAUCAAAAACACAGGUCUCUGCUAAACCGUAAGGUGAUGUAUAGGGGCUGACGCCUGCCCGGUGCUGGAAGGUUAAGAGGAGUGGUUAGCUUCUGCGAAGCUACGAAUCGAAGCCCCAGUAAACGGCGGCCGUAACUAUAACGGUCCUAAGGUAGCGAAAUUCCUUGUCGGGUAAGUUCCGACCCGCACGAAAGGCGUAACGAUUUGGGCACUGUCUCAACGAGAGACUCGGUGAAAUCAUAGUACCUGUGAAGAUGCAGGUUACCCGCGACAGGACGGAAAGACCCCGUGGAGCUUUACUGUAGCCUGAUAUUGAAAUUCGGCACAGCUUGUACAGGAUAGGUAGGAGCCUUUGAAACGUGAGCGCUAGCUUACGUGGAGGCGCUGGUGGGAUACUACCCUAGCUGUGUUGGCUUUCUAACCCGCACCACUUAUCGUGGUGGGAGACAGUGUCAGGCGGGCAGUUUGACUGGGGCGGUCGCCUCCUAAAAGGUAACGGAGGCGCUCAAAGGUUCCCUCAGAAUGGUUGGAAAUCAUUCAUAGAGUGUAAAGGCAUAAGGGAGCUUGACUGCGAGACCUACAAGUCGAGCAGGGUCGAAAGACGGACUUAGUGAUCCGGUGGUUCCGCAUGGAAGGGCCAUCGCUCAACGGAUAAAAGCUACCCCGGGGAUAACAGGCUUAUCUCCCCCAAGAGUUCACAUCGACGGGGAGGUUUGGCACCUCGAUGUCGGCUCAUCGCAUCCUGGGGCUGUAGUCGGUCCCAAGGGUUGGGCUGUUCGCCCAUUAAAGCGGUACGCGAGCUGGGUUCAGAACGUCGUGAGACAGUUCGGUCCCUAUCCGUCGUGGGCGUAGGAAAUUUGAGAGGAGCUGUCCUUAGUACGAGAGGACCGGGAUGGACAUACCUCUGGUGUACCAGUUGUCGUGCCAACGGCAUAGCUGGGUAGCUAUGUGUGGACGGGAUAAGUGCUGAAAGCAUCUAAGCAUGAAGCCCCCCUCAAGAUGAGAUUUCCCAACUUCGGUUAUAAGAUCCCUCAAAGAUGAUGAGGUUAAUAGGUUCGAGGUGGAAGCAUGGUGACAUGUGGAGCUGACGAAUACUAAUCGAUCGAAGACUUAAUCAA